rnacentral:rRNA from 1 species
ACAUGCCUACAUCAUAGCAUUAAUGCACCAGAUCCCAUUAGAACUUCGUAGUUAAGUGCGCUCAGGCUAGAGUAGUACUAGGAUGGGUUACCACCCGGGAAGUCCUAGCGUUUUACAUGCC